CAGUCGCCGCGGUAAUACGUAGGGUGCGAGCGUUAAUCGGAAUUACUGGGCGUAAAGCGUGCGCAGGCGGUUCGUUAAGACAGAUGUGAAAUCCCCGGGCUUAACCUGGGAACUGCAUUUGUGACUGGCGAGCUAGAGUAUGGCAGAGGGGGGUAGAAUUCUACGUGUAGCAGUGAAAUGCGUAGAGAUGUGGAGGAAUACCGAUGGCGAAGGCAGCCCCCUGGGCCAAUACUGACGCUCAUGCACGAAAGCGUGGGGAGCAGACAGGAUUAGAUACCCCUGUAGUCCCUGUCUCUUAUAC
rnacentral:rRNA from 1 species